rnacentral:sRNA from 1 species
UAAAAAUUGACCUAGCUUGGACAGGGCUUGGUGGCUUAUGCCUGUAAUCCCAGCACUUUGGGAGGCUGAGGCAGGCAGAUCACUUGAGGUCAGGAGUUUGAGACCAGCCUGGCCAACAUGGUGAAACCUCAUCUGUACUAAAAAUACAAAAAUUAGUUGGGUGUGGUGGUGCACACCUGUAAUCCCAGCUACUUGGGAGGCUGAGGCAUAAGAAUCGCUUGAAUCCAGGAAGCGGAGGUUGCAGUGAGCUGAGAUCAGGCCACUGCACUCCAGCCUGGGUGACAGAGUGAGAAUCCAUCUCAAAAAAAAAAAAAAAAUUGACCUAGCUCUUGAUGAACUUUAAAAUUCUUUCAAUUAGAAUAAGAUUUCAAAGUUCCAAAAAGAAUCCAGUUAGAUUUUUAUUAAUUGCAUGAAGUAUAUUGAUUAGUUUAGAAAUAAUUGACACCUUUACAACAUAUGGUCAUCCCACCCUACAGUGUGGAGUGGAGAUUAUUUAUUUAAAUAACUUUAUAAGACCUUUGUAGAGAUUUUUUUUCCUGCUUUUGUUACCUCUUUAUAUAAUUUUAAAUACUUUUACACACAAACAAAUGAACACUUUUGUUUUUGAGAUGGAGUCGUUCUGCCUCCCAAACUGGAGUGCAGUGGCGUGAUCUUGGCUCACUGCAACCUCUGCCUCUCAGGUUCGAGGGAUUCUCCUGCCUCAGCCUCCUGAGUGGCUGGGACUACAGGUCCCCACCACCAUGCGUGGCUAAUUUUUGUAUUUUUAGUAGAGAUGGGAUUUCACCAUGUUGGUCAGGCUAGUGCUGAACUCCUGACCUCAAGUGAUCCUCCUGCCUCAGGCUUCCAAAGUGCUGGGAUUACAGGAGUGAGCCACUGUGCCCCGCCGGAAUGAGCACUUUUAAGAGACACCCUCUGAAUAUUGUUUUGCUCAGAAAUAACCUCUAAAAACACCAGGUCAACUUUUCUUCUAGUAGUUUUGUGACUUUGGUUUUCUAAUGCUUACAUCUUUGUUGCUUCUGAAAUUAAUUUUGUUAUAGGACUGAGGGUCAGAGGGAGGUGGUGAGAGGGUCUCCAGGGACAGCAGCAGGGCCGUGUUUGCUCACUGGAUAAUUGUUGGGUGUUUCCUUAGGGACGACCUGGCCCAGUUGCCCUUCCUGACCAUGUGCUUGAAGGAGAGCCUGCGGUUGCAUCCCCCAGUCCCUAUGUUCACCCGCGGCUGCACCCAGGACGUGGUGCUCCCAGACAGCCGGGUCAUCCCCAAAGGUGCCCUCCAUGGCAGGGGAGGAGGGUCCUGGGCAGGGUGGUGGUCCCAGCAGGUAGCUCGGACCUUGUCCUUACUGUCCUCUCCUGCACAACAGGGAAUAUCUGUAGCAUCAACAUCUUCGCAAUCCAUCACAACCCCUCAGUCUGGCCAGACCCUGAGGUGCUGCCCCUCCCUGCUUCUCCAUCCCCUGGGCCUGGUUGGGGGAGGGGUCUUGUCCCGGAAAACCAGAUAUUCCCUCUCUACUCCACCCACAUCUGUCUUAUGUGGGGGUGGCUGGGUGUCCUGAGAGGUCCCAUCAGCAGCCUUAACUUGCCUCCACCCCAGGUCUAUGACCCCUUCCGCUUCGACCCAGAAAACGCCCAGAAGAGGUCACCUAUGGCUUUUAUUCCUUUCUCGGCGGGGCCCAGGAACUGCAUCGGGCAGAAGUUCGCGAUGGCAGAAAUGAAGGUGGUCCUGGCACUCACGCUGCUGCGCUUCUGCAUCCUGCCCGACCACAGGGAGCCACGCAGGACGCCGGAGAUUGUUUUGCGUGCGGAGGACGGACUUUGGCUGCGAGUAGAGCCCCUGGGCUGAGGCCUGUAGUGACCCACCCACCUACCUUUGCAUCACCUACCUUUGCACCAACUACCUUUUCAGAUUCCCGGGAAUAAAUCUGUGCUGGCCCCUGUGCCUGAGUCCUGCGGAGAGCCAGUAGGGGACCCUGGAGGACUGCAGGGAUCUAGGGCCUGGCUGGAAAGAGGCGGGGAGGUGUCUCUGUGCCCAAGAUACAGACUGCCUCUCUGGGUGAGCACAGGACCUCCGUGCUGAGGGCGGGAUCUCCCAGAGCCUAAGUAAAGAAUUUUUCCCCCCCAAAAUGAUUGUGUAUUCUGAUAUAAAUUUUUGCCAAUUUAGAAUCCCUGUUUUUUAGCUAGGUGCAUAGCAGCCUGAAAUACAGAUCACAUUUGAAAGCCUUUCUUGAAGCUCAAUUGGUUAAGUGACUGUGGCUGUCCCAUGUGGAGAAGCCAAAGAUUAUGUGGUAAUUCUGGUAACCUUUCUUAAGAGAAAGCUGCUACAGUCUGUCUGCUCAGUCCACCCCUCUUCCUUCCUGCUGCUUGCAAGAUUUUUUUUUUUUUUUUGAGACAGGGUCUCACUCGUCGCCCAGGCCAGAGUGCAGUGGCUCACUGCAACCUCCACCUCCUGGGUUCAAGUGAUUCUCCUGACUCAGUCGCCCGAGUAGAUAGGAUAACAGGCGCCUACCACCACGCCCGGCCAAUUGUAUUUUUAGUGCAGAUGGGGUUUUGCUAUGUUGGCCAGGCUGGUCUCAAACUCCUGGCCUCAACUGAUCAGCCCACCUCAGCCUCCCAAAGUGCCGGAAUUGCAGGUGUGAGAAUAAAAAUUCUUGAGUUUCAAUUUUUAUUUUAGAAUCAGGGGCUAACGUGCAAAUUUAUUACAAAGGUAUAUUGCAUCAUGCUGAGGUUUGGAGUAUGAAUGACUCCAUCACCCAUGUAGUGAGCAUAGUAUCUAAUAGGCAGUUUUUCAGCUUUUCUCCCUCCCUGCUUCCCCUGUCUAGUAGUCCCCAGGAUCUGUUGUUCCCAUCUUUAUUACCAUGUACAUCCAGUGCAUAGCUCCCACUUAUAAGUGAGAACAUGCAAUAUUUUGUUUUCUGUUCCUGCAUUAGUUUGCUUAGGAUAAUGGCCCCCAGCUACAUCUAUGUUGCUGCAAAGGACAUGAUUUUGUACUUUUUAAUGACUGCAUGGUAUUUCAUGGUGUAUUUCUACACAUUUUCUUUAUCCACUCCACCAUUGAUGGGCACCUGUGUUGAUUCAGCAUCUUCGCUAUUGUGAUUAGAGCUGUGAUAAACAUGUGGAUGCACAU